GUUUACGACAAUAUACCACGUUGAAAGCAUCAGUUCUCGUCCGAUCACCGAAGUUAAGCAACGUCGGGCACGGAUAGUACUUGGAUUGGUGACUGCAUGGGAACACCAUGUGCAGUAGACU
rnacentral:rRNA from 1 species